ensembl:lncRNA
CUUUUUGCCAUCUCUUGGGCUGCUCCUGUGGCAUAUGGAGGUUCCCAGGCUAGGGGUUGGAAUUGGAGAUGCAGCUGCCAGACUAUGCCAGAGCCAACAUCAACACGGGAUCUGAGCCACGUCUACAACCUACACCACAGCUCACAGCAAAGCCAGAUCCUUAACCCACUGAACAAGGCCAGGGAUCGAACCCGCAACCUCAUGGUUCCUGGUCGGAUUUGUUAACCACUGAGUCAUGACGGGAACUCCUAGAUACAUUUUUAAAAAGCAGAGGAUGAAAUUGGGGAAAAGUAAGGAGAAAAAGAACACUUUCCCAUUAAAUUAAUCUCUGGGAUCAUAAGUUCUGAUUUCUAAGGAAACAAUGGAAGAAAUUUUCAGAUGAUAUAUGAGAUGCAAAGACUAUGAUUAAAAUCAAACCAACUUUGUCCUAAAGACUACAGAGAAUCAUUAAAUUUCUCUGAACUAGACUAGAAUUUUCAACCCUGGCUAUAUGUGAGAACCACUUGGGAAACUCAAUACCCAAGACUAACCCCAGAAAUUGGCUUAACAUAAACUAGACAUUCAUAUUUGUAAAGAUGCCCCCAGAGCAUUUGAAUGUAUAGUGAAGGCUGAGAAUCACUCAGCCAGACUAUUCAUUCAUACUUCAAAACUAAAUGGCAAAUGUUACUUUAUUUUUUACACUGGGAUAUAGCAUAGUCAUUGGAUAUGACAAUAUAAAACAGAUAAAGCUCAAUAUAAAACAGAUAAAGAUACUUUACUCGUUUUACACAAGUUUACACUGGGAACCAUGCAAACCAUAGUUUUUGCAGCACAUGUAUAUCCUCAGAGCCCAGGCUUAAACAGAGCAUGUAUAGUCUAUUCCAGAAGGUAGCAUCUGAGCUUUGCAACAUAAAGACACAGACUCAGAAGAUAUGAGCACUGAGCCAUGUUCCUUCUUUGCCUGUCUGCUAGAUUAUGUCAACAUUUUAUUUCUGCAUUUCUAAAAUCCUAAUCUAAAAGUUGUAUGUUUAAACAUAAUUCACUACAUCAAUUAAAACAGCAUUACUUUAAAGUAUUUUCAAAUGUAAAAAUGUAAAAAUUUCAGCAAGAAAUACAAAAUCGCUGCUGUUUCUAGAUUGCAUGUCAGAGCUGAUCUAAACACUCAUUCUCUCUCUACUUACAAAAUGACCCAUAAUUCCUGGAGGUAAAGAAUGUACUAGAAAUCAAUACAUUAUUAUGACAAUACUUCUCCCUAUGCAUCAGGCUACUUUAGUUUUUCUCUUGAUCUUCGUUGCUUAAAUGGACACAAUACACUUUGUUCAGGUCAGUCUGACAAACAUUUAUUGAAGGACUACCAUGGGCCGGGAAGGCCCAACCCCUCCAGCCUCAGCUGGUUGCUUAGUCUCCUUGACCAUGACCUUUCAACCCCAAGGGCUUUCUCUUUCUAGCUCUUGAAUACAUUGAGUUUGCCCUCAUCCUGAAUCUUUUAUAUUUUGCAGAUCAUCUCACAGCUGGUUCCCCUUCAUUUUUUCCAUCCUGUUCAAAUAUCACAUUCUCUGAGAAGCCUUCUUGAACCAACCAUACUAAAGCCCUCUUGUGCAUCCCCAACUCAGUCUUCUUACCCCAUUACCCCCUUUUCCUUUCCUGUUAUCCCAUCUGAAAGCAUCUUAUGUAUUGACUUUUGUGUUCAAGGUUGCAGGAAGCCCUCCAGAACAUAAUCUCCAUGAGCACAGGCACUUGUCUGGGCAGCUGUAACCUGCACCUACAACAGUUGAAUGCACUCAGGAAGUACUGGUGGAGUGAAUGAAUGCACGUCUUUGCAAUCUUACCAAGAAUAGUUCCAAAAUGAGUCCUGUACUCUCUAAUCUACUGAACAGAUAAUGAGUGCGUACAGUUGCAUUUUAACCUGUAGUUCCCCACACAAUCUGCAUGUGUUUGCAGAUUUUAAUUGGACCUACAGUGCCAGACGCUUUUGCAGAGAAGGUGAUCCUUUUGCAGCAAGACCCUGUGCCUGGCUGACUCUCAGCUUCUUCCAGACAGAGCUCUCUUUGCAUAUCUUGCAAUCCUGGUUGCCCCUUUCAAAUCCUAGCAGAAAGCAGCUAGACAUUAAUGUUUGAACUUGCACUUCUAAUGGGCUGUGAAGAUUUAUUUAGCCCACUUUAUAGGGGGAACACUGUUAAUUUGGCAUCAUGUCCUCAGUCUAGUUAUGGAAAACUUUCUUGGAGGCUCUUGCUAUUGUUCAUUCCCAUACACGUCUGCCUUGGGAUGGGAGUUACACUGCAAAAAGUAUCCACUUAAUGAGAUGCUUGGUGGGUUGGUGGGUUUAGGACAGCCUGGGAUCUUUUGUCAGUAACCUUAUCCUCCCAUUAUGACCAGAUGAUACUAACAGUACCGGCUGGGAAGUCGGCUGCAAUGUGCUCAGGACAAAUCCUCCUGACAUAUGGGAUCGACAGUUGGACAGCACUUCUAUUUUGAGGCGCUUCUGUUUGGUCUAGACUAGCACACAAAGCCAUAUUGAUACCAUCCCCUGCCAGCCUUCCAAACAUGCACUUUUGUUUGCACGUCAACUCUGUUCAGUAUCUUCAGCACGUCAGUUGUCCAUUCAGUCUAGAAAAGUAUAUGUGAUCUCACCAACCAUAUCAGCUCAUUUCGGGGUGCUGGGGGGCAUGCCCAUGCUGGGGGGCAUGUGGAAAUUCCUGGGCCAGGGAUCAAACCUGAGCCAUAGCAGCAGUCCAAGCCGCAGAAGUGACAAUGCUGGGAUCUUUAACCCCCUGCUCCACCAGGGAACUCCUCAAAUCAGCUACAUCUGUAUCUUGUGAAACAUGCAGUUUGGUGCCCUUGCUCAGAAAAGGCACCUACUAAAUAAAUACUUGUUCCUUCUGCUGCUUUCCUUGCUAUUUUAAUGACUGACUUUAUUCAAAAUUAUACUUAAAGAAGAUCCUGUAUCUUUUAAAAACAGUGUAGGGAGUUUCUAUUGUGGCUCAGUAAUAACAAAUGCAACUAGCAUCUGUGAGGAUUCGUGUUCAAUCCCUGGCCUCACUCAGUGGGUCGGGGAUCUGGUGUUGCCGUGAGCUAUGGUGUAGGUCAUAGACGCAGUUCAGAUCCUGUGUUGCUGUGGCUGUGGCUGUGGCUGGCAGCUGAGGCUCUGAUUCAACCCCUACCCUAGGAACUUCCAUAUGCUGCACAUGAGGCCCUAAAAAAAUAAGGUUUGUGCAUAAGUUUCUGUACCUGACUCUCUGUGUAAACAAACAAAAAAAAAAUUAGAACAAAUUUUAUAUGUGCAACUUGUAUAACAAUCCAUAACGACUGUCAUCAACGUGUCCAUUAAAACACGAUAGUACUGAAUAGAAGGAAAUGAACAUGAUGGACACUGGUGGUAACUACACCUCUGAGAAGACACACCCAGAGCUUUCCUUCUCUCCUUGGUUGUGAAGUGCUGUGAUCCUUGUUCUCUGAGGUUCAGUCUUAAGCCCUUUUCCUUAUUUUGCCUCAUAUUUUCUUCCUGGCAUCUCAUCCACACCCAUGAGUUCAUUGCCUCGUCUACACCCAUGAAUUCAGUUCCGCUCAGACUGCCUUGAUCUCCCAUGUAUAUCUUCAGCCCAAGCCUCCAUUUCAAGCUCUACAUCUCCUGUCCAGCCAAUAUAACCUCCCCACCAGGAGAUGCCCAGACCCUCGGCCUCAGCACGUGUGCACAGGGCUGGAUGCUCCAUUUUCCCUGUACAGAGGUCCUCCUCCAGGGCCCUUUCUCUAUGAAUGCUGCAACCUUCAGCUAACAAGGUCCCAUCCCAGGGGCCUCCCAUUGCCCUCCCUCUCAGGGCCCCCCUCCUCGUAUCUUAUCUAACACACCAAGCCCUCUUGAGUUUACCUACUAGAUGACUUUCAAAGCCAUCUCUUCAACUAGUCCUUGUCUCUGCAUCCCCCUAGUCAAGUUACCAGCAUCUCUCGUCUUGGCUACCACAUACACCCACUGUACUGCCUGCUAACUUCUUCUGCAAACCCCAGUCGGAAGGAUCCUUUCGAAAAGAAAAUCUAAUCACACCAAACCCUCUGCUUAAACUCUUUAAUGGUUUCUCACUGAUCAAAGGAUAAAGAAAAUGAAAUCACAUAAAGCAACCUGCUGCUUCCUGCAAACUCUGGCUUUGGCCUCCCCCCUCACCUCAUCUCGUUCUCGUCUCUUGCUGUCUCCAUCCUAUCCAUUUGCUCCUUAACUAGAACCUCCUCAACCCCACCCACCCCAGCCCUUGCCCUAGUUAAGUUCUACCCCCAUCAGAUGCCAGGGAGGCCUUCCCACACACAAAUUCAUUGCUCAUUGCUGUAUGUGUUUCUCGCUUGCGAAACACCUCUUUUUCCUGUGUCUACGUAUUUGUGCCAUAGGUUUGACUAAUGUCUGUCAUACCUUCUUGACUGCAUGGAAACCCAAUUACGAGUUCACACCUGAAUUAUUAGUCAGUGGACACCGCAUGCUGUCACCCGGUAGUACAUGGCAAUCUCGCCUCCAGUCUUACUUGGGUAAUCUUGCUGAAUCUGGAGACUCUGGUCUGGAUUGGUAUUUGUUUCUGUUUCCAUAGUUUUUUGUGAGGUAUGAGGUCAGAUUUAAAACAGGGCCCGUUUGCACAGGACCUGGCAUGUAAUGCAAAGACAGGACAGGCCGGGUUAACCAUGUGGAAAUAGUUUCUCCUUCUCAAAGAAACAUGAUGUUUCUCAUUUUCCUUUAAAGAUAUAAUCCACUCAUUCUAUCUUUUGGUUUUUCUUUUUAAAAAAUGUAUUGGAGUACAGUUGAUUUACAAUGCUGUAUUAGUUUCAGGUGUACAGAAAAGCGAAUCUGUCAUACAUCUUCAUAUAUCUAUUCUUUUUUUCCCAUAU